AUUGAACGCUGGCGGCAGGCCUAACACAUGCAAGUCGAACGAGUGGCGGACGGGUGAGUAAUGUCUGGGAAACUGCCUGAUGGAGGGGGAUAACUACUGGCAACGGUAGCUAAUACCGCCUACCAUCGGAUGUGCCCAGAGGGGAUUAGCUAGUAGGGGGGGUAAAGGCUCACCUAGGCGACGAUCCCUAGCUGGUCUGAGAGGAUGACCAGCCAAUCUGGAACUGAGACACGGUCGAUACUCCUACGAGAGUCAGCAGGGGUGAAUAUUGCACAAUGGGCGCAAGCCUGAUGCAGCCAUGCCUCGUGUAUGCAGAAGGCCUUCGGGUUGUAAAGUACUUUCUGCGGGGAGGCGUUACCCGCAGAAGAAGCACCGGCUAACGCCGUGCCAGCAGCCGCGGUAAUUC
rnacentral:rRNA from 1 species